rnacentral:rRNA from 2 species
ACCCUUUAAUGUUUGAUGUUCUAACGUAGACCCGUGAUCCGGGUUGCGGACAGUGUCUGGUGGGUAGUUUGACUGGGGCGGUCUCCUCCCAAAGAGUAACGGAGGAGCACGAAGGUUAGCUAAUCCUGGUCGGACAUCAGGAGGUUAGUGCAAUGGCAUAAGCUAGCUUGACUGCGAGCGUGACGGCGCGAGCAGGUGCGAAAGCAGGUCAUAGUGAUCCGGUGGUUCUGAAUGGAAGGGCCAUCGCUCAACGGAUAAAAGGUACUCCGGGGAUAACAGGCUGAUACCGCCCAAGAGUUCAUAUCGACGGCGGUGUUUGGCACCUCGAUGUCGGCUCAUCACAUCCUGGGGCUGAAGUAGGUCCCAAGGGUAUGGCUGUUCGCCAUUUAAAGUGGUACGCGAGCUGGGUUUAGAACGUCGUGAGACAGUUCGGUCCCUAUCUGCCGUGGGCGCUGGAGAAUUGAGGGGGGCUGCUCCUAGUACGAGAGGACCGGAGUGGACGCAUCACUGGUGUUCGGGUUGUCAUGCCAAUGGCAUUGCCCGGUAGCUAAAUGCGGAAAAGAUAAGUGCUGAAAGCAUCUAAGCACGAAACUUGCCCCGAGAUGAGUUCUCCCUGACUCCUUGAGAGUCCUGAAGGAACGUUGAAGACGACGACGUUGAUAGGUCGGGUGUGUAAGCGUAGCGAUACGUUGAGCUAACCGAUACUAAUGAACCGUGAGGCUUAACCUU